ACAUGCACACACACACACCUGCACCUCCCUCCUUGAACUACAUUUUCCAGAGUGUAUGUCUCAAAGGAAAGGUCAGAAAGGAGAUCAGUUUCAGUGUGGAGCUCCAAGAGGCAGAUUAUUCCUCAAAUGUGUUUUGCUUCCUGUUGCUGAAACAGAGUCCCUUCAAAUGAGACUGUUUGCUAAGUGAGGCGGCUCCUUCCUUUUCCUCCCUUGGACGCAUUAGAGAGCAAGAGGAAGCCUUCUGAGGCUCCUCGCUGUGAUGGGUGAGGAGCUCCCUUCAUUCCCUGUGGAUAGUGGCCUGCCACCAGAGAGGCCACAGGCUGGAGCAAGGAGCUGACUCACAGGGUAGGGAGAAAGUGGCCUGGAUCUUUGACAGAGGUCAAGCCUUCAGGGAGGGGUCAGCAGAGCUGGCUUGUCUCUGGUCCACAUAGAAUCAACCGAAUCACUCAUGUGGCUGCAUUCAAGCUGGGCUGAACUGGAGAGUCAAGAUGUCCUCAUCCUCAAGGCUGGACACCUCAAACAUUUUCCACAUCUUUCUCUCUCUGUGUGGUAUCCCAUCCUUCUUGUCCUUUUUUUCCCCAAGUGUCCUUUCCCUCCAGCAGGAUAGCCUGGAGUUCUUCACGAGGAAAAACUGUAACUGUGUGAUUAAAACAUGAUGCAACUAA